AGUCUGUAAAGAAAGCUAC
rnacentral:snRNA from 1 species